rnacentral:rRNA from 1 species
GGGAUGNNAUUCCNNGUGUAGCAGUGGGUGCGUAGAUAUACGGAGGAACACCGAUGGCGAGGGCAAACCUAGGGCCUGUACAGACGCUCAAACAAGAAAGCGUCGGGAGCAAACAGGGUUGGAUGCCCUGGUGGUCCGCGCCCUGAUCGGUGUCGGCUGGUUGUUNNNNNNNUUUCUUCUCAGUANNAAGCUAACGCAUGAAGUAGCCGNUGGGGGUACGGCCGCAAGGUUGGACUCAAAGGAGUUGACGGGGACCCGCACAAGCGGUGGAUGAUGUGGUUUAAUAACGAUGCAACGCGGAAACCUUACCUACCCUUGGCGUGUCAGAGACCCUGCAGAGAUGUGGGGGUGCUCGGAGGCGGGUCUGAACACAGGUGCUGCAUGGCCGUCGACAGCUNGUGUCGU